CAGUCGCCGCGGGAAAACGAAGGGUGCAAGCGUUACUCGGAAUUACUGGGCGUAAAGCGUGCGUAGGUGGUGGUUUAAGUCCGUUGUGAAAGCCCUGGGCUCAACCUGGGAAUUGCAGUGGAUACUGGGUCACUAGAGUUUGGUAGAGGAUAGUGGAAUUUCCGGUGUAGCAGUGAAAUGCGUAGAGAUCGGAAGGAACAUCUGUGGCGAAGGCGACUAUCUGGGCCAACACUGACACUGAGGCACGAAAGCGUGGGGAGCAAACAGGAUUAGAUACCCCCGUAGUCCCUGUCUCUUAUAC
rnacentral:rRNA from 1 species